rnacentral:rRNA from 1 species
CUGAAUGGGGAAACCCACUUACAUAAGUAAGUAUCCUGUUGUGAAUACAUAGCAACAGGAGGCAAACCGGGGGAACUGAAACAUCUAAGUACCCCGAGGAAGAGAAAUCAACCGAGAUUCCGAAAGUAGCGGCGAGCGAAAUUGGAUUAGCCCUUAAGCUUUUAAUGAGACAGAUGAAGGCUCUGGAAAGUGCCGCAAUAAAGGGUGAUAGCCCCGUAAUCGACAUCUCAUCAUCAGUGAAAACGAGUAGGGCGGGACACGUGAUAUCCUGUCUGAAUAUGGGGGGACCAUCCUCCAAGGCUAAAUC